rnacentral:rRNA from 1 species
GUGCCAGCAGCCGCGGUAAUACAGAGGGGGCGAGCGUUAUUCGGAAUUAUUGGGCGUAAAGGGCGCGUAGGCGGCUUGACAAGUCCAAGGUGAAAUCCCUCGGCUCAACCGAGGAACUGCCUUGGAAACUGUCUGGCUCGAGGCCGGGAGAGGGUAGUGGAAUUCCCAGUGUAGCGGUGAAAUGCGUAGAUAUUGGGAGGAACACCGGUGGCGAAGGCGGCUACCUGGACCGGAUCUGACGCUGAUGCGCGAAAGCGUGGGGAGCAAACAGGAUUAGAAACCCUUGUAGUCC